rnacentral:rRNA from 1 species
GUAACGGGGAAUUAGGGUUCUAUUCCGGAGAGGGAGCCUGAGAAACGGCUACCACAUCCAAGGAAGGCAGCAGGCGCGCAAAUUACCCAAUCCCGACACGGGGAGGUAGUGACAAUAAAUACUGAUACAGGGCUCUUUUGGGUCUUGUAAUUGGAAUGAGUACAAUUUAAAUCCCUUAACGAGGAACAAUUGGAGGGCAAGUCUGGUGCCAGCAGCCGCGGUAAUUCCAGCUCCAAUAGCGUAUAUUAAAGUUGUUGCAGUUAAAAAGCUCGUAGUUGAACCUUGAGCCUGGCUGGCCGGUCCGCCUCACCGCGUGCACUGGUCCGGCCGGGCCUUUCCUCCUGGGGAGCCGCAUGCCCUUCACUGGGUGUGUCGGGGAACCAGGACUUUUACUUUGAAAAAAUUAGAGUGUUUAAAGCAGGCCUAUGCUCGAAUACAUUAGCAUGGAAUAAUAGAAUAGGACUUGUGGUUCUAUUUUGUUGGUUUCUAGGACCGACGUAAUGAUUAAUAGGGAUAGUUGGGGGCAUUAGUAUUCAAUUGUCAGAGGUGAAAUUCUUGGAUUUAUUGAAGACUAACUACUGCGAAAGCAUUUGCCAAGGAUGUUUUCAUUAAUCAGUGAACGAAAGUUAGGGGAUCGAAGACGAUCAGAUACCGUCGUAGUCUUAACCAUAAACUAUGCCGACUAGGGAUCGGGCGAGGUUAUUUUUUUGACUUGCUCGGCACCUUACGAGAAAUCAAAGUUUUUGGGUUCUGGGGGGAGUAUGGUCGCAAGGCUGAAACUUAAAGGAAUUGACGGAAGGGCACCACCAGGAGUGGAGCCUGCGGCUUAAUUUGACUCAACACGGGGAAACUCACCGGGUCCAGACA